rnacentral:rRNA from 1 species
UACGAAGGGGGCUAGCGUUGCUCGGAAUCACUGGGCGUAAAGCGCACGUAGGCGGAUCUUUAAGUCAGGGGUGAAAUCCUGGAGCUCAACUCCAGAACUGCCUUUGAUACUGAGGAUCUUGAGUCCGGGAGAGGUGAGUGGAACUCCGAGUGUAGAGGUGAAAUUCGUAGAUAUCAGGAAGAACACCCGUGGCUAAGGCGGCUCUCUAGUACGGUACUGACGCUGAGACGCGAAAGCGUGGGGAGCGAACAGG